UACGUAGGGCGCAAGCGUUGUCCGGAAUUAUUGGGCGUAAAGAGCUCGUAGGCGGCUUGUCGCGUCGUCCGUGAAAACUUAGGGCUCAACCCCAAGCUUGCGGUCGAUACGGGCAGGCUAGAGUUCGGUAGGGGAGACUGGAAUUCCUGGUGUAGCGGUGAAAUGCGCAGAUAUCAGGAGGAACACCGGUGGCGAAGGCGGGUCUCUGGGCCGAUACUGACGCUGAGGAGCGAAAGCGUGGGAGCGAACAGG
rnacentral:rRNA from 1 species